AUAUCUCUCUGUACGGGAAGGAUGAGAAGCUUCUACCAGGGUUCGAUUCGAGCGCAGCGAGAAAGCGUUGCCGCAGGCAACGACCCGAAGGGCGAAGCGCGCAGCGCUGAGUCAUCCUUCCCC
rnacentral:sRNA from 2 species